GUCUUAAUAGGGCGAACAUUUAGCAUGUAGAUAUAGACCCGAACCAAGUGAUCUAUUUAUGACCAGGUUAGAAAAAAGAAGAAUAUUCUUUUUGGAGGACCGAACCCGUAACUGUUGCAAUAGUUUGGGAUGAGUUGUGAAUAGGAGUGAAAGGCUAAUCAAACUUGGAGAUAGCUGGUUCUCCGCGAAAUCUAUUGAAGUAGAGCGUUAGUUAAUUAUUUUUAGGGGGUAGAGCUCUAAUUAGGAUGAGGGGGAAGAAAUUCUUACUAAACCUUGUUAAACUACGAAUACCUAAAAACGUAUACUAGCAGACAGACCGUGGGGUGAUAAGAUCAAUGGUCGAGAGGAAAAGAGUCCAGACUGACAAAUAAGGUCCCAAAGUUGUAGUUAAGUGUAAAAGGAAGUAGAGAAACCAAGACAAUUAGGAGGUUAGCUUAGAAGCAGCUAUCCUUUAAAGAAAGCGUCAUAGCUCACUAAUCUAGAUAUUAAGUUUCUCUGCACCUAAAAUGUAACGGGGC
rnacentral:rRNA from 1 species